GGGAAAACUGGAUAAAUCAGAAUAAACUUUGUAGAUUGGUCAAUCGUAUUAUAAUUUCCUGGUUUCAAUAAUUUUGCUAUGUUGUAUUUUAUACUUAACAAACAUGUAUAUUUUACAAAUACAAAUACACCACAUUUGCAAAUACUACUUUGUAUUUACAUAAAAUAAAAAAUUCUAUUUAGAUAUUAACAGUAGAGAAAACUGAGUGAAGGGCAUAUGAGAAUUCUCUGUAAAAUGUUUACAACUUUUCUAUAAGUCUAAAAUUAUUCACAAUAAAAGUUAAAGACAAAUUAGGACAUACGUUUCAGCUAUUAGGAAUAAGUACUUUAAUACUCAAGAACUGAAAUUAAAAGAAACCUACUGAAAGGUUUUAUUUAAUUUAAUUUUGAGCCUGUUAUAGUAUAUAUUCUAAUCCAAUUUACAUUUUCUUUAAAGUAUUUUCUAUGCAGCAGAGUAGCACAGUGGAAGCAUGCUGGACGCAUAAAGUAUUUUCUUAUGACAACAUAAUCUGGCAGUGCUGGAAGGAAGGAAUUGCCAUGAACAAAGCACAUUGUGCCUCUGAGGAAUUGUCAGCUUCAAGUAUGUGCCAAAACAAGGCCCCAUUUCCCCCUGGCCUGGUAAAUCAUUCAGCCCAUUCACUUGGACAAAGUACUUAAUCCAGGGUGAGACCAUGCAAACAAGGACAAUUAUACUUCUUCCUUGAAAUGAAUACAGCAUAUGGAAGUUGGAAGAGAGUAACUCUCUUUACUCUUGGGUUGCCAAGCCUGGAAGAUGUUAAGUCGGUACUGCUGGCUGCUACUUUUUCUUGCCAUCUGAGAGAAUGUGUGUCUUCAGUUAAAAAGCAUAAAGUUAAACAGAAAUAAGAGAUAGACAAAGAGCUAAAGGACUAAGCUAUUGGUUCCUAGAACCCUCCAUUCCAUUCUGUGAAUCAUUUCCGUAUCUUUUCUUCCACUAUGAGGCAAUAAAAUUAAACUGCUUAAGCUGACUUUAAUUGCAUGUAUGUGUUUUUUUUUUUUUUUAUAAAAGUUGCAACCAGGUAAGUCCUAACCAUACAGUUACUGUAACUAUAGAUAAGACAUUACCACCACCAGCAAAGAGCAGUCAAUAGAUACAGUAAAA
rnacentral:lncRNA from 1 species